AUGGGGAGCUGCCAGGGCCAGGGCCACAGCCCUGGCACGGAGCAGGGGCGGGCCCCAGUAAGGCUGAGAGGGUGUCCUGCCAAGGGGACCUGGGUGUUUCCGUCCUCUGUCCCUGGGACACUGACUGACCGCGGCCUCUGUCUUUGCAGUGCGCAACGUUUACCCCCGUGGUGCUGCAGAAGAGGAGCAGCUCUUCAUCUUCGCUCCCCAGCACACCACAGAGUGAGGAGCAUGGCAGCAGAGGAGGAAUGGGUAUGUCCCAUCUGCCGUGAUGCGCGCAAGGACAUUGCCUACGCGAUGCCGUGCCGUCACGAGUUCUGCCUCGGCUGCAUCCUGCGGUGGGGCAAGCAGCAGGACAGCUGCCCUCUCUGCAGGAGGGUGAUGGAAGUGGUCAAGGUGGCAGCGUUGGAUGAUGACGAGGACCUGGACUUCGUCAUCUGGCCUCCAGCAACACCUGUACCCGCCUGCUUCCAGGGAGCCAUAGCUCCCAGUUUCAGCAGCUCAGGCUCUUCGCUAUCCUCUUCGCCACCCCCUUCACCGUGGUCGGAUGAGGAGGUGGAUGAGGAGGUAGAGGUAGAGAUAGAGGCAGAGGAGGUGCCUACGGUGGGCGGUCUCCCACCUGACAUCUGGGCAGAUCUGUUCAGGCAGCACCAACAGAUCCUGGACCCUGUGCUGCCCUGGCUGCGCCAACAGCUGCGAGCCAUCUUUCACACACACUGGUGGCCGGCAAUGGCAGCGGAGGCCUACCUCCUGAAUGCCCUGUGUGAAAACGGGCCGGACGGUGAGUGGCUGACGGAGCUGAUACGGCCUGCCCUGGACAACAGAGCAGAGGCAUUCGUCCAAGAGCUUCUCAACACCAUUGUGCACGAGUGCGGUGAGGAGGCGCACAGACUGCUGGCUCUGCAGGACACCCACGUGCCUGAGGGGCGGGAGGAGGGCCCUGCAGCCAGGGGGCAGGAGGACAGCCCUGUGGCCGCUCCUGGCCCCACUGCCUCCCCGGAACUGGACCUCACAUCGGGGCCCAGAGUCAGCACUGCAAGUCCCAGCAUUGAGGAGGAGACCCGCACAGCAGUGGCUGACGUUCUUGUGGGUCCCAGUCACGUCCCUGCUGCACACUUGGCGAGGGAAGCGGAGGAGCCCAAUGAAGAGAUGGAGCAGGCAAUGGCAGCAGGUCCCUCUGCCCGGGGCAGCAGCCCCUCUGCUCCUGGCCACUCUCCUGAGAGGGCCCGGCGGCCCCCGAAGAGGAGGGCUGACAGUGACCAGGACUCACAGCCGCCCUGCAAGAGGCCGCCCCCUCGGCCUCAGUAG
rnacentral:lncRNA from 1 species